CGCAGAUUGUUUGGAACACCACCAAAACGGUGGGCUGCGCUGUUGCUUACUGCAGAGGUACCAACCCUAACCUGGUUGUGUGUCAAUACUUCCCAGCUGGAAAUAUAAUCGGAAGAAAGCCAUUUUAACAAUAGACACAGAAGAAAGCAGAGGUGAUGGACAGCAAUGGAUGAAAAAAAAAAUAGCAUACUUUUGGUCGUCACUUAAAAUGUUUAUCCAAAUACAAAAUCGAAAUAUUGCACAUUCAAACUUUUGAUUA
rnacentral:sRNA from 1 species